AUUGGAAAACAUUAUUUCUCGGGGAAAUUUACUUCCUCAUCUGCAGGACAGUUCACAAGCUUUCGGCCUCCCUUGCACUGGGCAGUUCUCAGACUGAGCAGGGCGCUUCCUGGCACCAGCAGGACUGUUCUUAGCCCUGAAGAGAGAGCGCUUUCCAGCAGCCUAGGAGCAGGAGCGGCCUCAUCGCAGGCUGGACCCCCUUCCAUCUCGCCGGACCCAGAGAGGCAGCCGGGUAGCAGCGGAUCCCCACUUUCCAAUCACUGUCCUCUCUGGAACGUCAGGACCACCCCUUCGGGCUGCUGUCCUCUCACUUUGCUUCAGGUCCUCUAUUCCCCUCCCUCACUUCCCUGCCUCUAAAGCCAUGGCUCCUACCUGGCUGCAAAUCGCAGCCAUGGAGGAACUGUAUGAUAACUCAACGCGAAGCCCGUCCGGAAGUGAGACCAAGCACCUCCAGCGUCCAGCUCGCCAGGUGAUUCUGCAGCCCAGCUCUGUGUCCUGCUCAGCUACUGUUCUGGACCCCAAGACCGUGGCUAUCAGGAGAUAUGGACCACCUGUCCGGCAGCAUUUCCACCAACCAGUGUCCAGCUCCCGAACAUGAAGAGGUCUCAGCUGACUCUCAGAGAGCUGGGCCAGGGUGUAGGCACUGUCACACAGUGAGCUGACUGUGAUCUGUGCCCCUCCCAGGUCUGUCCCACCCUUGCACGUGCGUGUGCCCUGUGUGCUUGGACCUCUCCUUCAUUAAUGCCCAGGUCAGGGUCCAAGGAAACCCACGUGAAAUCACACUUUCCAUGUCAGUGUUUUAGGUAGUUCUCCUCUACUGAACCAAUGCAUUUUUCAUAUAUACACUAAAGGAAAGAGAGGAAGAAUGAUAUUUGCCAACUUUGAUAACAUUUUUUAAGAGAAGCCUUCAGGAUUUAUUAACUGCUUAUUUUAACUAAAAUAUACUGUUAUGGCUUGUGUCUAGAUGUCCCCCCAAGCCUCGUGCAGUCAUAGGUGGGCCAAUGGGACUAUUCAGAGGGGGCUGAAUCUAGAGUGUGUGGUGCUGGAUCAGGGGUGUAUGAUUACUGAAUUAGUCCACUGAUGAGCUCUCCACAGUUCACAGAAGGCCCACCCUGGGUGUAAGUGCUUCCCGUCCCAAGGGCGUGUUGCCUGGGUCCUAUAGAAGGGACAGAAGGAGAACUGCUAUUGUUCACUUGCUGCCUUCUGCUUUUGCUGCCUCCUGCCUACCAUAAGCUGUUUCUCCUCUUUGAUGCCCUCUGCUCUGCCACUCUGCCUUGGAGCCAGCCAACUCUGAACUGAAACCUCUACACACUGUGAGCUAAAUAAACCUUUCCUGUUUAACUUUGGAUGCCAGGUAUUUUCUCUCAGCAAUGAGAAAAGUAACUAAGAUAUGCACAUAAGUAUUAAAAGCCUAAAUGCAUUGCAUGUAAAAAUAUUUCUUUUUCAAAAUUCAAGUAUUAGAAAGGACCUCCUAUUUGUAUGUUAUUACUUGUUUUAUACAAAUAUAUAUUCUAAUUGGCAUGUAUUUAUUUAGAAAAGAAGAUGAUGCAGAAAAAAAGAUCACCAUUGCUCAAGAAAUAAUGGCAAAGAAAAAGUGACCUAUGUAAUGCAAUCCUCAGUUCACUAAAGCUUCUGUUCACUAGCAAUUCAGUUCGUAAGCAGAAGCAUUCAGCAAAAUUGUGCUUCCACUUAUGAACUCCACACUGGGUGAUGAACACAACCAUGGCCAUCUUCCCCAAAAUUGUGGAACAAAUUAAAUAUGAGGUACCAGUGUAUUUAGUUGACUAUUAUUGAUUUCUUAUUCCAAUAUAUCAAAAAAAGAGUUUAUUUUUGCUAUCACAAAUGAAGUUAUAUGCAAUUACUGUCCUAAGUCAAAUAGAUUGAAUACUCCUGGGCUAUCUAAUGAGUAUUACAAGAGUUUCCAACAUGGCAACCUAGUCUGUCCAGUGACACAAGAAUGCUGUUUUCCCCUCAAUCUCUCGUGGUUAUGUUAAGAUUAUAUCUUCCUCCAUAACAAUUUCCCUUGCAGAGCCACAAUGAACUCAAGCAGGCCAGUUACCAUGUGUUGUUAUGACUAAUGAGACUUCAUUUUGUUUUAAAUUUAUUGCCUCUUUUUCUAUUUAAAUGAUCAGACAGCACUGUUGGAAAUCAUAUCUUGUUUGGUUUUUACUGCUUUACAUUUUCAGUGUAUCUCUGAAAGGUUGUGAAUACACAGUGGACAGUCCAAUACAAUCGAUAAUUCCAAGUGUCAAGGAACCAAGUGAUGAUCUUCCUGUAAUAAUGAAUAAAUAAUUAGACAUCAUGCAGAAAGAUUUCUCAUCUUGUGACUCUAGAAACCAGUAUCUGGCAAUGUUUACAUAACAUCACAAAAUUUCUUGCAUUUCUACUUUGAAAUAAAUGUUAUAGUGAAAUACUAUAUGGAUUUCAGAUAAUAAAA